rnacentral:rRNA from 1 species
UACGUAGGGUGCAAGCGUUAAUCGGAAUUACUGGGCGUAAAGCGUGCGCAGGCGGUUUUGUAAGUCUGACGUGAAAUCCCCGGGCUCAACCUGGGAAUGGCGUUGGAGACUGCAAGGCUAGAAUCUGGCAGAGGGGGGUAGAAUUCCACGUGUAGCAGUGAAAUGCGUAGAGAUGUGGAGGAACACCGAUGGCGAAGGCAGCCCCCUGGGUCAAGAUUGACGCUCAUGCACGAAAGCGUGGGGAGCAAACAGG